rnacentral:rRNA from 1 species
UACGAAGGGGGCUAGCGUUGCUCGGAAUUACUGGGCGUAAAGCGCACGUAGGCGGCUUUAUAAGUCGGGGGUGAAAGCCUGUGGCUCAACCACAGAAUUGCCUUCGAUACUGUAGAGCUUGAGACCGGAAGAGGUAAGUGGAACUGCGAGUGUAGAGGUGAAAUUCGUAGAUAUUCGCAAGAACACCAGUGGCGAAGGCGGCUUACUGGUCCGGUUCUGACGCUGAGGCGCGAAAGCGUGGGGAGCAAACAGG